AGCAGCAGCCACGGUAACACGGAGGGUGCAAGCGUUAAUCGGAAUUACUGGGCGUAAAGCGCACGCAGGCGGUCUGUCAAGUCAGAUGUGAAAUCCCCGGGCUUAACCUGGGAAUGGCAGUGGAUACUGGCUCGCUAGAGUGUGUCAGAGGAUGGUGGAAUUCCCGGUGUAGCGGUGAAAUGCGUAGAGAUCGGGAGGAACAUCAGUGGCGAAGGCGGCCAUCUGGGACAACACUGACGCUGAGGCACGAAAGCGUGGGGAGCAAACAGGAUUAGAUACCCCAGUAGUCCAUGUCUCUUAUAC
rnacentral:rRNA from 1 species